AGUCGAACGCGAAAGUCCCCUUCGGGGGACAAGUAGAGUGGCGUCCGGGUGAGUAACACGUAGGUAAUCUACCUUCGGGUGGGGAAUAACGCAGGGAAACUUGCGCUAAUACCGCAUAAUGCAGCGGCACCACAUGGUGACAGUUGUUAAAGCGGGGGAUUUUCGAACCUCGCGCCUGAAGAGGAGCCUGCGGCAGAUUAGCUAGUUGGUAAGGUAAUGGCUUACCAAGGCGACGAUCUGUAACCGGCCUGAGAGGGCGGUCGGUCACACUGACACUGACAUACGGGUCAGACUCCUACGGGAGGCAGCAGUCGGGAAUUUUGGGCAAUGGGCGAAAGCCUGACCCAGCAACGCCGCGUGAAGGAUGAAAUCCCUCGGGAUGUAAACUUCGCAAGAAUGGGAAGAAUGAGUAGGGGCUAAUACUCCCUAUGAUGACGGUACCAUUUGUAAGCUCCGGCUAACUCCGUGCCAGCAGCCGCGGUAAUACGGGGGGAGCAAGCGUUGUUCGGAUUUACUGGGCGUAAAGGGCGCGUAGGCGGCCAGCGCAAGUCAGUUGUGAAAUCUCCGGGCUUAACUCGGAACGGUCAACUGAUACUGCGCGGCUAGAGUGCGGAAGGGGCAACUGGAAUUCUCGGUGUAGCGGUGAAAUGCGUAGAUAUCGAGAGGAACACCUGCGGCGAAGGCGGGUUGCUGGGCCGACACUGACGCUGAUGCGCGAAAGCCAGGGGAGCGAACGGGAUUAGAUACCCCGGUAGUCCUGGCCUUAAACGAUGGAUGCUUGGUGUCU
rnacentral:rRNA from 1 species